AUAAAUGUCAAUGUCAACACAAGCACACACACACACACACACACACACACACACAUACACACACACACACACUUUGUUAAGCCAUAGAAGUGUUUUACUCACUGAUUAAAAUUAAGUUUGCUGCUUAGUAGUAAAAUGGAAUGCCCAUCUUUGUGUGUUUAAAGGUUAAAGGCUUGACACAUUAAAAGUAAAUUGAAUGUUUUCAUGUUUUACUUAUAACCAAAGAGUGAUUUGUACAAUGGUGUUUUGAAUUCUCCCUAUCUCUGAGAAGAAAAUCAUGUAAGUCAGACUUGAGCCAUUUAGAACAAUUCUAUGUCUAAAAGAGGCCCAUGAAACAAGCAGGUACAAAUGAAUUUAAAUGAAAAGGGAAACCAUAUAGCUUUAAAUACUCGAAAAGAUAUUUGUGCAGGUGAUUGUAAAAUGGCAAAUUUGGGCAAUAUUUAUCUCACGGUGAUGACUCCACUUUAAAAACAAAUACAGAGUGCUGAGUGAAAAGCAUUUAUUCUAAAUAGCAUUAAUUCCCACUUCAACUAGAAAAGAAUCAAUUUAAAGGACCCUCCAAGGCUUCAUGCAAGGGUCCUCUUGUGGUAUAUAUAGAAAAAAAAAAAAAAAAAAAGCUGGGUGUGGUGGUGCACGCCUUUAAUCCCAGCACUCGGGAGGCAGAGGCAAGCAGAUUUUUGAGUUUGAGACCAGCCUGGUCUACAAAAUGAGUUCCAACACAGCCAGGGCUACACAGAGAAACUCUAUCUCGAAAAACAAAACAAAAACAAAAAAACCAAACAAACAAAAAAAACAAAAAACAAAACACAAAAAACAAAAAAACCAAACCAUUAGACUCUGUGGACAUAUUCAAUAUAGACUCUUAAUGAUUUAUUUUGAGAAUGUAGCACUAAAUAGAGACUUUUUUAUCUUUUUAAAUAAAAUUUAAAAUUAAGUUUACUGUAAUUUUUCUGAAAAUGUUUGAGUUACUGGACAUCAGAAGAAUAGUUGAAUGUACCAUUUUCUU
rnacentral:lncRNA from 1 species